rnacentral:tRNA from 2 species
GGAGGGGUGGCCGAGCGGUUGAAGGCACCGGUCUUGAAAACCGGCAGCGGCGCAAGUCGCUCGUGGGUUCGAAUCCCACCCCCUCCGCCA